AGUGCGCACUCCUCCCAGUGCACUGGCCGGUUGGAGUUUUGCCAGGGAGGCCUUCCCACCUGCCUGUCUCAAUGGAAAGAAUAUGUGGAUUUGGAUUCAGGGACACCUUUAUCACCUAUGUGACUUUAGAGCCAGCAAGCGUUCCUGAAGCAUUCAGAAUUGUCUAAUUUCACCAAAUGAAUGAUCCCUGAGGGAUACCAUGGAUCCUGCUGGUCUAGGAUUGGCUCCAGCUUUUUCUGGAUCUGCAUUUGCUGUGCAACCCUGCUCGGGGGCUGAGAGAUGCUCUGGAGCUGUCUAGGCUGUGAGUCUAUCUGACCACACUGGCUCUGCAAGACCAUGGCUGAAGACUGCUUAAAUGUUGUCCCUGAGUCAAUAUCUUAACAUUUAUUGCAUCUUUUAUUUUCUUAACAAAAAUGAAGGCAUUUGUGACUGUGUUGUUUUCCAUCAAAAAUUGGGAAUCAUGCCCUUUCAUACAACACAGUUGUGGAGACACAAUUUGUUGAAGUGAAAGAACACUGGAACAGAAACAAGAAUACCUGAGAUGGAGACUCACCUCUUACCAUCAAUCUAGUGUUGACUUUGGGUCCAUCUUUUCUUCUGGGGUAGUAGAAAGAUCAAGAUCAUCAGAGAACGUAGGGUGCAAUAUCAGCUCUCCAGUACCAAACACGGUUCAUUAACCUCUCGGAACCUCAGGUGUCUUGGGGCAUAGUUCAUGUCUCCUGGCCCAUCUCACAGGAUUAUCAGGAGGACGAAUGAGAUAAUUCUCAGGCUAAAGAAAAUAUCACCUAAUGCUUCUGAUAUACAGAAUUGUGUGCUGCAAAUGGUUGAAAAGAUUUUAGUUUCAACACCUAAUUCCCAUCAUUCUGUGGCAAAAUAUAUCUUGAGUUCUGAUGGGCGCCAGAACAACAUCUGAAGAUUGAAUGAAACUUCUAAAGGUGAGUGAUAACAAGGCCCGUCCUGUACUUCACAGAAGACUUCUGAGGGUCAAAGAGAAGAUUUAUAGUUCUGGAGGUCAGAAGUCCAAGCUGAGUUUCACUGGCCCAAAUUCAAGAGUACCAGGCCAGAUUUCCAAAUGGGACAACAGGUGGAACUCUCAUUUUGCUCAUGUUCAGGCUGGAGUGCAGUGACACGAUCAUGGCUCGCUGCAGCCUUGACCUCCUGGGCUCAAGCUAUCCUCCCAUGUCAGCCUUCUGAUUAGCUGGGACUAUAGGCAUGCACCAUCACACUCAGGCUGGAGUGCAAUGGCUCAAUCACAGCUCACUGUUACCUCAAAUUCCUGAUCUCAAGGGAUCCUCCUGCCUCAGCCUCCUAAGUGACUGGAACUACAGGUGCAUACCAUUAUCCCAGC
rnacentral:lncRNA from 1 species